rnacentral:lncRNA from 1 species
AGGCUGGGCCUUACUGUCUCUUAGCUUUUAUGGCCCGAGGAAGCUGCAUCCCUGCCCCAAGGCUUGGUCAAGGUGCCUGUUCCCGGCUAUGUGGCUGCAUGUGACAAGCCAUGCUCCCUCACCCCCCGCCAUUCUUCACAUUCCCACUCCCAUAUUUACAUGGGUCACUCUGACUCAGACAGGUACUAUUUGUAAGUAGUGUAGACAGCAGGGGGGAGCGGUCAGCCUGUGUCCCCUCUGAGCCGUGAUGCCAAAGGUUGCUAAGGACUUUUAGAAUCCCCAGCCGUACAUCCCAGUGUUCCAUGUGUCCCCUUCUCCUCCUCUUUCAGCAUCCCUAGCCUAUGGUGCUUUGGUGGUGGACCACUGCAGUCCUGACUUGCUGGUGACUAUAUGCUAGUGACCUCCAAAUCAGGAUCCUGCCUCAUGGGGUAGCCACUGGACUUUCUGCACUGGAUCGCAAGAGCAUUGAGCCGAGUGGGCGUGUGUGUGUGUGUGUGUGUGUGUGACAGAGACAGUGAGAGAGAGACAGGCAGGCAGACAGACAGACAGACAGCUCUGCGUGUACUUGUAUUUUAUGGCCUCAAACAGGAUAAGGGGCCUCCUUCCUUAUUCCUGACCUAUAUCUAAGUAAGGUUCUCCAGGACAGCCACAGUUAUACUGAGGGGGGACUGACAUGUUUGGAAUCCUGGCUAUUAGUAACGUCUAUGCAGGGGCACCAGCCCCUCCCUGGUGGUCAGCUCUGAGGUGAGAUUGUUGACUAUGAACAGAUCACAGUUGACAGUCACAGUUAACUCUCUUCAACCAAGCACUUCCAUCAGUUCUCUCCUGGUUACUGCUCCUAUGUGAUUGUCUUGGAAGAUGCUGGGAGGUGGGAAUGGGACUGGCAUGGACCUCCUCUUGCUUGGUGCUCUGCCUCCUAGAACAGUUUUCACACAUUUGCCAGGCCUGGCCUCGAAGAGGCCAUCUUCCACCCCCAAAAAAGGUGCUAAUAGCACUCCAGAGGGCUCUCUAGGGGCCUUCCUGCCAACCGUGGCGAGCGGUUGUUAGCUCUUGGAACCCUCCAGAGGAAGAGGCAAGCUUUUGACUCCCCAUUACCACCCCGAGGCCUCCUUCUAUCUCCUCACAGAGACAAGUGAGAGAUACAGCAUACAUGGCUGGCGGGUAGAAAGAUCUCAGGAAAACAUCUCUUUUCUUUUCAGGGUAACUGUGCCGUUCACACUCUCUGAGUGUGAUCCAAAAUCUUACUUAAGGCCUUGGUCCAUCUCCUGUGUCAGUGUCUCAUUUCUGUGCUUUACCAGAUGCCCAGUAACUACAGCUUGGGCCCUAGAGACAGAGGCCACCCCGAUUCUCACCACAAAGUUAGAAACCCUCCACUUUCUUUCCCUUGAGCCACAUCAGAAAAAAGACCCAUUUCCUUGCUCAUUGGCAAUCACUUCGGCUUUUUUCUCUUUCGUUACUCUCGUACCACCUCCAUCCCAUAAAACUAUACUGUGAACCGUAAGAGGGCAGGAUUUUUUAACUCGGUAGAAAUGCUGGCAGCUACUCUCCAAAAGCCAGGGAGGCUGUCACAGGUAGGAAUCCCUUCCCGUCUGCAUUGUGAAGGGUCCCGUACAGGUGUACCUAGGCUUCAAAGACAGGGCUCGUCCCAAAGGAUUGUCACUUAGGAGAUGAAAGAAUAUUACCACAUGGGGAGGAGGGGGCGCUUGCAACAGAACACUUUGGUCUACCUACACCAAGUCUGUGAGGGCAUGCAAGACUGAAAAGGCCUUUUCUUAUGCAUAGAAAGUGAGCAAGACUAGAAAUAACUGUCCAAGGCGUCUCUGUUCCUGGCCACUGAAGAGAGAUGUCAGAAGGCGUUGGAAUAGGUCGAAGCCAAGGCUCCAGUGGGCUGAGGGAAGGUUUGGAGCUGGAUUUCGUGGUGUACACCUUUAGUCCCAGGAGAGGUAGGUGAAUCUCUUGAGUAUGAGGGUAGCCUGGUCUAAAAAGGAAGUUCCAGGACAGCCAGGGCCACACCGAGAAAAAAAAAAUCAACUCUACAAAAACAAGUAAAAAUUAAGACAGGAUCUCAAGUAUCCUAGGUUGGCCUUCAAGUCACUUCAAAAGUAGAGAAAGAAAACUGAGGGUGACCUUUGAACUCCUGAGUGCUGGCUUCUUCCCGCGUGCUCAGACUGCCAGUGUGUGCUACCAUGCUUCAUGUGGUCCUGGGUUCAAACACAGACCUUCAUGUGUCUAUAGGCAACCACCCUACCAACUGAUCUACAUCCCUCAGCCACAGCCCCUGCCAACCUUAGAACUGCAAAGCCAUUUCUGACCUGUAAACCUCAGCUCCCAAUCUCUGUAAGAUGUGUAGCCUUGGCUAAUCCCUUCCACAUUGCAACUCCCUGCUUGCUUCCUAUUCCUUCUAGCCUUGGUGACUUCCACCCGUAAGAGAAAAGCCCCUUUUAACCCCUGCUCCAAAACAUUGUAGAUGUUAGGGUCUGGAUGCUCUCUGCAAUUCAACAGUCCCUUCUGUUGCAGUAGCUCCCUGCCACGCUCCAGUAAUCCUUCAGUGUCUCCUCUGGGCUCAAUGAAUUUGCUUAUUUGACAAAGUGGGCGUGAGACUUGUAUUCUUAAAAUUGGAGGUUAGUCAUUUUGUCAAAUGCGUGUCAUGACAGACCCAAAAGGACUCCACACACAAGCCAGGGACACCAACUGGAAAGGUGCCCCUCUCCCAGGGAAGCCUGCUAGGGAGAGGUUCUGUAGAACCCAAGCCCAGCAGCCCAAAGUCAUGCACCCAGUGUCCUCUUGUAUGACUGUGUAUAUGUCUGUCUGGGAUCCAGGGCAAAUGUGAAUUUUCUUUUGAUUCGGGAGAUUGUUCACAGGAAAUAGUCCUCUCCUCUCAUGUCCUCCUAUUGAUUGUUUACAAUAUUUGUACAUCUAUGCAAAAUACUUGAAUGGGCCGUGGUGCCUUGUUUUGUUUUUUCUUGUUUUUUGUUUUUUUUUUUCCUCCUUGUUUGUAUUUAAUUAAAACAAAUUGUCAUUAGGAAA